rnacentral:rRNA from 1 species
UACGAAGGGGGCUAGCGUUGUUCGGAUUUACUGGGCGUAAAGCGCACGUAGGCGGAUCGUUAAGUCGGGGGUGAAAUCCUGGAGCUCAACUCCAGAACUGCCUUCGAUACUGGCGAUCUGGAGUCCGGAAGAGGUGAGUGGAACUCCUAGUGUAGAGGUGGAAUUCGUAGAUAUUAGGAAGAACACCAGUGGCGAAGGCGGCUCACUGGUCCGGUACUGACGCUGAGGUGCGAAAGCGUGGGGAGCAAACAGG